AUGGUGCUCUGGGAACUAAGUGGAACCAGCACGUCCAGGAAGGAGAGAAUGGGACAUGAGAAAUUUUGCCGGCAAACCUGCCAUAUCUCACUGGGGUGUCUUAUCUCUCACAAAGGACUGGAGACUCCUGCACAAGAGGGGCCUCAACUGCUUUUGUUUCACAACGUCCCCAUCCUUCCACAAAGACUCAAUGAUGGACUGACUAAAAAGCAUUCGGACCCAGGACACUUCUAUCUCUCCAGUACCCUCCUCCCAGAAGAGAGGAAGUACACAAGGAGACCUUGUCUUCUGUUGGAGAGAAGGGCCUUUCCCAAUGUCAUUUCUUCCUUGGGCAGAAGGCCUUCAAGUGGUCUAAACCAUAUCUUCAUUUGGAAAAUGGGAUUUAUAAUAAUAAUGAUCAUUAAUAAUAAUACCUGCCCUGCCCACCUGACAAGGAUAUUGAGAUGUUCGUAGCAGCACUUUGGAAAAUAAAAAGCAUUGUAUAUGUUCA
rnacentral:lncRNA from 1 species